AGCUUUGCGCAGUGGCAGUAUCGUAGCCAAUGAGAUUUAUCCAAGGCACGAUUAUUGCUAAUUGAAAACUUUUCCCGGCCGGCGCCGCGGCUCACUAGGCUAAUCCUCUGCCUGCGGCGCCGGCACCUUGGGUUCUAGUCCCUGUUGGGG
ensembl:snRNA U4 U4 spliceosomal RNA